rnacentral:lncRNA from 1 species
CCCAUGCCUUCAUCCUGAGCCCAAGGAGGGGGUUCACUUGAAUCUGGCCGAGCCCAAGAGGGGAUUGUUUCUUCAGACUUGUUUGACUUGGCAGAGCCUUCAGUUGUGGCCGACACAGAAAACUUAUGAGAUAAAUUUCCCUUUUGGCGUCCAGGAUGGGUUCUGUUUCUUUUUCUGGUGACUGAUAGGUCCAGGAUUUUAUGGCCAACACCUGGAAAUAAUUUUGGGUGCCAUGGACUCUCUUUUCUUGAACUAUGGAUUAAAUUUGUGUCACAG